GGCGUGCUUAACACAUGCAAGUCGAACGAUGAAGCCCUUCGGGGUGGAUUAGUGGCGAACGGGUGAGUAACACGUGGGCAAUCUGCCCUGCACUCUGGGACAAGCCCUGGAAACGGGGUCUAAUACCGGAUAAUACUCUCGCAGGCAUCUGUGAGGGUUGAAAGCUCCGGCGGUGCAGGAUGAGCCCGCGGCCUAUCAGCUUGUUGGUGAGGUAGUGGCUCACCAAGGCGACGACGGGUAGCCGGCCUGAGAGGGCGACCGGCCACACUGGGACUGAGACACGGCCCAGACUCCUACGGGAGGCAGCAGUGGGGAAUAUUGCACAAUGGGCGAAAGCCUGAUGCAGCGACGCCGCGUGAGGGAUGACGGCCUUCGGGUUGUAAACCUCUUUCAGCAGGGAAGAAGCGAAAGUGACGGUACCUGCAGAAGAAGCGCCGGCUAACUACGUGCCAGCAGCCGCGGUAAUACGUAGGGCGCAAGCGUUGUCCGGAAUUAUUGGGCGUAAAGAGCUCGUAGGCGGCUUGUCACGUCGAUUGUGAAAGCCCGAGGCUUAACCUCGGGUCUGCAGUCGAUACGGGCUAGCUAGAGUGUGGUAGGGGAGAUCGGAAUUCCUGGUGUAGCGGUGAAAUGCGCAGAUAUCAGGAGGAACACCGGUGGCGAAGGCGGAUCUCUGGGCCAUUACUGACGCUGAGGAGCGAAAGCGU
rnacentral:rRNA from 1 species